GUCUACAGCCUUACCAACCUGAAUAUGCUGGAUCUGGUCUGAUCUCCGAAGCUAAGCAGUGUUGGGCCUGGUUAGUACUUGGAUGGGAGAAAUGACUACCAGGUUGCUGGAUAUA
ensembl:rRNA 5S_rRNA 5S ribosomal RNA